AAGUCGUAACAAGGUUUCCGUAGGUGAACCUGCGGAAGGAUCAUUAACGCGUAUCCAAACGUAAAAAACUCCCCCCGUGAACAUUCAAUCCUGCUCUUGUAACCCGCGUAGUUUGCAAUCUCGGGUAAAUCAUAGCCCGGAAAGUAGUUUUGAUUCAGAGACCUCUGGCUACGUGAGAACAUUGGAACAGUUACAAUCGAGCGGUAGUUUCAUAGGCAUUGUUUCCCCAAGCAGUCAGUGUCUGAAAGUGUCACUGAUUGUGCAAGGAUAGCGCUUCAACGAUUCCUGUAGACCGUACACUCGGGCAGGAGCUAUGCCAAAGGGUCCCCAUGCCCCCUUAUAACCCCACAGUUUAAUGUGAAGCUCAAUGUAAUACAUUGGGUAAAAAAACCGAACAACUGUUAACAAUGGAUAUCUUGGUUCUC
rnacentral:misc_RNA from 1 species